rnacentral:rRNA from 1 species
GACGGGGGAUGCAAGUGUUAUCCGGAAUCACUGGGCGUAAAGCGUCUGCAGGUGGUUUCCUAAGUCCACUGUUAAACCUUGAGGCUCAACCUCAAAUCUGCAUUGGAAACUAGGAGACUUGAGUAUAGUAGGGGUAGAGGGAAUUUCCAGUGGAGCGGUGAAAUGCGUAGAUAUCGGGAAGAACACCCGUGGCGAAGGCGGCUCUCUGGGACGGUACUGACGCUGAGACGCGAAAGCGUGGGGAGCGAACAGG